AGCUGACCUCACCUGGGCUUGACACAGCUGUGAACCUCUGGCCCCAGCUCAGAGGAUAAGGAUGCAUAUCUACAAAGUUCCAUUUUACAGGUGUUUCUAGUAGUCCAGGAGAACUGUGUAUUGUUCCUCCUCAGAGCCUCCUCGUACCAUCUUUUGUUGAGGCAGAGAAAUGCUUCAGAGCCAUGUCAGUGCUUUUCAGCAUGCAGCCACAUGGACAAGCCAGCUCCAGGAGCUACAGGUUCCCAGAAAGCCACCUCCCAUCCCACAGCGAAGCAGAAGCUGAAGACUCUCCUCACCCACUGCAGCCUCUCACCUUACCUCGCUUCUUUCAGAUAGCAGGCAGAAAGCCUGGCUUUAAAAGAGUUCAGACAGGAAGCAGCAAUGUUCCAG